rnacentral:pre_miRNA from 1 species
ACAUCAAUUGGUCAGUCGGUCUACUGAGCGAUUUCACCAGCUCGGUGUAAGAUUUUCUCUUUGUCGU